CAUGACAGUCGAACGCCCCGCAAGGGGAGUGGCAGACGGGUGAGUAACGCGUGUGGAAUCUACCCUUUUCUACGGAACAACUGAGGGAAACUUCAGCUAAUACCGUAUACGGCCGAGAGGCGAAAGAUUUAUCGGAGAAGGAUGAGCCCGCGUUGGAUUAGCUAGUUGGUGGGGUAAAGGCCUACCAAGGCGACGAUCCAUAGCUGGUCUGAGAGGAUGAUCAGCCACACUGGGACUGAGACACGGCCCAGACUCCUACGGGAGGCAGCAGUGGGGAAUAUUGGACAAUGGGCGCAAGCCUGAUCCAGCCAUGCCGCGUGAGUGAUGAAGGCCCUAGGGUUGUAAAGCUCUUUCACCGGUGAAGAUAAUGACGGUAACCGGAGAAGAAGCCCCGGCUAACUUCGUGCCAGCAGCCGCGGUAAUACGAAGGGGGCUAGCGUUGUUCGGAUUUACUGGGCGUAAAGCGCACGUAGGCGGACUAUUAAGUCAGGGGUGAAAUCCCGGGGCUCAACCCCGGAACUGCCUUUGAUACUGGUAGUCUUGAGUUCGAGAGAGGUGAGUGGAAUUCCGAGUGUAGAGGUGAAAUUCGUAGAUAUUCGGAGGAACACCAGUGGCGAAGGCUGCUCACUGGCUCGAUACUGACGCUGAGGUGCGAAAGCGUUGGGAGCACACAGGAUUAGAUACUCUGGUAGUCCACGUCCGUAACUAUGAGAGCUAGCCGUCUGGCAGUAUACUGUUCCGUGGCGCAGCUAACGCAUUAAGCUCUCCGACCUGUGGAGUUACGGUCGCCAGAAAUAAAGCGUCAAUGAACUUCGACGGUGAA
rnacentral:rRNA from 1 species